CCUACGGGUGGCAGCAGUGAGGAAUAUUGGUCAAUGGACGCAAGUCUGAACCAGCCAUGCCGCGUGCAGGACGACGGCUCUAUGAGUUGUAAACUGCUUUUGUACGAGGGUAAACUCAGAUACGCGUAUCUGUCUGAAAGUAUCGUACGAAUAAGGAUCGGCUAACUCCGUGCCAGCAGCCGCGGUAAUACGGAGGAUUCAAGCGUUAUCCGGAUUUAUUGGGUUUAAAGGGUGCGUAGGCGGUCGGAUAAGUUAGAGGUGAAAACACGAGGCUCAACUUCGGACUUGCCUCUGAUACUGUUAGGCUAGAGAGUAGGUGCGGUAGGCGGAAUGUAUGGUGUAGCGGUGAAAUGCUUAGAGAUCAUACAGAACACCGAUUGCGAAGGCAGCUUACCAAGCUAUAUCUGACGUUGAGGCACGAAAGCGUGGGGAGCAAACAGGAUUAGAUACCCCAGUAGUC
rnacentral:rRNA from 1 species